CUAAACAAGUGAGAUCCCGGCGCUCACAGAACCCACACUCUGCUGGGGAGGCCAACAGUCAGCACACACACAAGCCAAUGAAAACGAAAGACCACAAAAGGCUCCAGGCUCCCAUAGAGACUAAGGAGGGACCCGCUGUCAGCCAGGGGAAAAAUCUGUGAUUGACCUGGCUGAGACCUUCGCCCCAUACGUCUCUGGGUGGAAGAACCUCAUGCAGGUCCUGUUAUAAAAGAGACUACUCAAUAAAGCACAGGUGGCAGGCCAAGAAAAUCCAGGCUGUCUUGGGCGGUCAGCUGGGCCUCCUGAGGCAGAGGACUGGGGUUGUUCCCAAGGCUUCUGGGCAUCCCGAGAGAUCCAAGACUCUGGGGUCCAUCCGGGGAGUGGCUGUGGAGCAGCUAAGAGGGGAAGUGGGCAUUAGACAUGUCCUCUCUGGAAAGAAAAAGGUGAACACCCAGGAGAAGAGCUAGCAGGGAGAAGGAGGAGCGGGCCAAUCACGAAGGAGAAAGGGUCUUUGGUGGCUCAGAUGAACCAAUCCCAGUGCCUUCUAACAGUUGGAGAGUAAGAAGGAUCCUGGAGCGGGGGAACUUCUGACAGCUCCUGCUCAUCCCCGGAGAAGACAGAAGCCCAUCACCUGGUACACUUCAGAGGAACACGCACCUGACAGCCAAGGAGAACUGGGCAGUAGUCCUCGGAUGUUGGGCGUCAUUUUCCGUGGGCAGUUGGGAGUCACUGUGCUUCUCCCACAAAAACUCUUCUCACAGUCCAACUUGUAUACAAACCCAUCAGACUGCUAGCCCCAGGGCAGGUACCUACCUAUCUUCCUGUCCCAGUACUGAGGGGCUCAAUAACUAUUGUUAACCUGAAGACACCGAAAACCUUGACAGCGCUGAGCUUGUUACAGCACCAUCUUGCUGUGUGUCCAUGUGCAGGUGCAACUGUACGUGAGAUCAGCGGCCAACCACCACCCUUUCCCAGGCCACACUCCAUCAGCAAGAGACUAUGCUACACCCCAAGACGAGAUGCAGCCAAUAAACAUGUCUAUGUAUUGACCUGA
rnacentral:lncRNA from 10 species